UGGCGAGAAAAAAAAUCCCCAGCCGCGAGAAGCUCACGAAAACUGUUCCCAUCCCAUGGCGGCGGCGCUGCCUCUCCUCCGGUGGGGCGCCUCCUCCCUCCGCGGCCACUCCUCCCCUCCGCCCUCGCGCCGCCUCUUCUCCGCGAUCCGCCGACCCCCCUCCGCUGCCCGCUGCGAGCCCGGCUCGAAGGUUAUGCUCAAGGGGAUGGACUACCCAGAGCUCGAGAAAUGGGCGCGGUCUCAGGGCUUCCGGCCAGGGCAGGCCAUGAUGCUGUGGAAAUGCCUCUACGGGAACAACGUAUGGGCGCACAGCCACGACGAGCUGGCUGGUUUAAACAAGGACUUCAGGAAAAUGGUAACAGAUCAUGCUGAUCUCAAGGCAUUAACGGUGAAAGAUAUUCUUAAUGCAUCAGAUGGAACCCGAAAGAUACUGUUCUCUCUUGAAGAUGGAUCAGUGAUUGAAACAGUUGUCAUUCCUUGCGCUAGUGGCAGAACAACUGUCUGUGUUUCCAGUCAAGUGGGUUGUGCAAUGAAUUGUCAGUUUUGCUUCACUGGAAGGAUGGGCUUAAGAAAGCAUUUGUCUACAGCUGAGAUUGUUGAGCAGGUUGUCUUUGCUCGUAGACUAUUUUCAGAUGAAUUUGGAUCCAUUACAAAUGUUGUAUUUAUGGGCAUGGGUGAGCCAUUGCAUAAUAUUGACAAUGUACUAAAAGCCUCAGCUAUAAUGGUUGAUGAUCAGGGCCUUCAUUUUAGUCCUCGCAAGGUCACUGUCUCCACAAGUGGCCUUGUUCCCCAGAUAAAACGUUUCCUGCAUGAAUCCAAUUGUUCACUGGCUGUCAGUCUUAAUGCAACAAAUGAUGAGGUGAGAAACUGGAUAAUGCCUAUUAACAGAAAGUACAAUCUCAACUUGCUUCUUGGCACUUUAAGAGAAGAACUUCGUUUGAAAAAGAAGUAUAAAGUGUUUUUUGAAUAUGUCAUGCUUGCUGGUGUGAAUGACAGUGUGGAUGACGCGAAGAGACUAGUUGAUUUAGUUCAUGGGAUCCCUUGCAAGAUCAAUCUCAUCUCUUUCAAUCCCCAUUGUGGGUCGCAAUUCAAGCCCACUCCUGAUGAGAAAAUUAUUGAGUUCCGCAAUAUUUUAAUUCAAGAUGGCCUUGUUGUAUUUGUUCGUCUCAGCAGAGGGGAUGAUCAGAUGGCUGCCUGUGGACAGCUGGGAGAGCCUGGGGGCUAUCAGCUACCACUGCUCCGUGUACCUGAGAAAUUUCAAGUCGCCUUGUGAUUAUAAACGGUAAGUUCGGUACUACAAUCCUGAUAGAUAUUGGAGAAUGCUUGAAAAAGAAGAUUUGCUUCGGUCCAACAAAAGUACCUCGAGAUACCGGUACCUCGCAAUACCAAAUCAUUUCUGAUCGUUGGAUCUAAUCAUACACAUCCUACUCAGCAUUUUUUAGCUGAUUCAAUUGUGGACCGGUACCUCGAGGUACUAUUUAAUGGACCGGAACAAAUCUCUUGAAAAAGACAUGCAAGAAUAUAGCCAUGCAGUUCUUAGAGGGACUGAGCUAAGUACUGUAUGUACUACAAUUCUCAUAGAUAUUGCCGAACAGCUUGACAAAGACAUGAAAGUAUAAAACGAUGCAGUUGUUAGGGGGACUGAGAUCCUCUGCAAUGCUGCCCCAGCAUUGAGAGCCACUAGUAACUAUUAGAUUUUUUCUGUUACUUCAACACGGCUGUAUCUUCAGCUGACCUGUGGUAUGUAAAAAACAAAUUUAGGCAUAGUGCUGCUAAUCUGCAAGUACCAAAAAUCCAGUAUUUUCCAUGGAUGUAACUUAUAUAUAUGUUUGCAUCAGUUUUCCCACUGAUAAUAACAAACACGUGCGACACAAGGAGAGUUUGGAAUGCAGCAGAGGAUGGGAUGAACCUUAUUCAUGUGCAGGCAUGAGUCAUUUCCAAAAGUCGCACAAGAUUGUGCCUUGCUUGAGAUACCUUAACCAUUAAGGUGUGCAUGCCAUUGCCACGACCUGACCACCAUACGGAGGAAAAGGAAAAAGCAAUAAGCAAACCCCACCAGUAAAAGCCCUUCUUUCUCAAAAGCAACUCUAUUAUGCUCCAUGUAUUGAGCGUCUUUAGCACUAAUCUGCUGCCGAACUGGCACUCUACACGUCUACUUGUUGCUUUAACAGAGGCAUGGAUUUGGACAGUUGCUGAUUUGCCUGACUUUGUAUAUCUCCGUUCUCUUCUUCAAGUGACUCCUUUUUUUUUUGUCUCAAGUAUUUUGGCACUGGAUUCUUGAUAUUUGAGACAACUUUGAUAUAUCGACUACGUGUUGAUCUGAACGAUCUCCACCAGUUUUAGCAAUAGCAAGAUCUGCUGGGGAGCCUUGGCGACAGGGCUGUGACAUUUGCUGUUGUCAAGUCCACUUUGAACUAAUUCUUUUCUUCCAUGUUAAAUAAAAGCACAACCUUUUCG